rnacentral:sRNA from 1 species
CGCUUUGCCAACAUGCUGGGCCAGCCGGGUAAGGCAGCCAGGCUAGGCAGCCAGGCUCCCCCUUCUCUGGCCUGGCUUCCUGCCCUGCCAGCCUCUCUGCACCCCCUACUCCCGGCUCCUGUCCUCGGCCCAGCCCCCAGGCCUUGGGAGGCUGCCGCCCGCCAGGCCCCCCUCCCUCCCUCCUUACAGGCUCCACCCCUCUGGACUUAUUCAAGUUCUAUGUGGAGGAGUUGAAGGCACGAUUCCAUGAUGAAAAGAAGAUCAUUAAGGACAUCCUUAAGGACCGGGGCUUCUGCGUGGAGGUGAACACGGCCUUUGAGGACUUCGCCCACGUCAUAAGCUUUGACAAGAGGGCUGCCGCACUGGACGCAGGCAACAUCAAGCUGACCUUCAAUAGUCUGCUGGAGAAAGCAGAGGCACGGGAGAGGGAGCGGGAGAAGGAGGAGGCACGCAGGAUGCGGCGCAGGG